rnacentral:rRNA from 1 species
UUUCGCAAUGCCCGAAAGGGUGACGAAGCGACGCCGCGUGAGUGAGGAAGGCCUUCGGGUUGUAAAGCCCUGUCAGGAGUUAAGAAAUGUAAGUGCGCUAAUCCAGCAUUUAUUUGACGAAGGCUCCAAAGGAAGUCACGGCUAACUCUGUGCCAGCAGCCGCGGUAAUACAGAGGUGGCAAGCGUUGUUCGGAAUGAUUGGGCGUAAAGAGCACGUAGGUGGGGAUGUAAGUCAGAUGUGAAAGCCUUCUGUUCAACGGAAGAAUUGCAUCUGAAACCAAUAGUUUUGAGUGUAGGAGGGGAGAAUGGAACUUCUGGUGGAGCGGUGAACAGAGUAGAUAUCAGAAGGAACGCCGGCGGCGAAAGCGAUUCUCUGGCCUAUCGCUGACACUCAUUGUACGAAAGGUCGGGGAGCAACAGGGAGAAGAUACCCCGGUAGCCCUAGGCGUAAACGAGGCACCCUAAGUGGCGGGCGAA